CCUACGGGAGGCAGCAGUGAGGAAUAUUGGUCAAUGGGCGAGAGCCUGAACCAGCCAAGUCGCGUGAAGGAUGACUGUCUUAUGGAUUGUAAACUUCUUUUAUACGGGAAUAACAAGAGUCACGUGUGACUCCCUGCAUGUACCGUAUGAAUAAGCAUCGGCUAACUCCGUGCCAGCAGCCGCGGUAAUACGGAGGAUGCGAGCGUUAUCCGGAUUUAUUGGGUUUAAAGGGUGCGUAGGCGGCCUGUUAAGUCAGCGGUGAAAUCUAGGAGCUUAACUCCUAAAUUGCCAUUGAUACUGGCGGGCUUGAGUGUAGAUGAGGUAGGCGGAAUGCGUGGUGUAGCGGUGGAAUGCAUAGAUAUCACGCAGAACUCCGAUUGCGAAGGCAGCUUACUAAGGUACAACUGACGCUGAAGCACGAAAGCGUGGGUAUCAAACAGGAUUAGAUACCCUGGUAGUCCACGCAGUAAACGAUGAUAACUGGGCGUAUGCGAUAUACAGUAUGCUCCUAAGCGAAAGCGUUAAGUUAUCCACCUGGGGAGUACGCCGGCAACGGUGAAACUCAAAGGAAUUGACGG
rnacentral:rRNA from 1 species